rnacentral:misc_RNA from 1 species
UCGUAACAAGGUCUCCGUUGGUGAACCAGCGGAGGGAUCAUUAAAGAGUUGCAAAACUCCCAAACCAUUGUGAACAUACCUUCAACGUUGCUUCGGCGGGUUGGCCCCGGUCUCCGGGGUCCCCGGCCCUACUCGGGCGCCCGCCGGAGGUAUCUAACUCUUGAACUUUUACGGCCUCUCUGAGUCUUUGUACUUAAUAAGUCAAAACUUUCAACAACGGAUCUCUUGGUUCUGGCAUCGAUGAAGAACGCAGCGAAAUGCGAUAAGUAAUGUGAAUUGCAGAAUUCAGUGAAUCAUCGAAUCUUUGAACGCACAUUGCGCCCGCCAGUAUUCUGGCGGGCAUGCCUGUUCGAGCGUCAUUUCAACCAUCAAGCCCCCGGCUUGUGUUGGGGACCUGCGGCUGCCGCAGGCCCUGAAAACCAGUGGCGGGCUCGCUAGUCACUCCGAGCGUAGUAAUACAUCUCGCUCAGGGCGUGCUGCGGGUUCCGGCCGUUAAAAACCCUUAUUUACCCAAGGUUGACCUCGGAUCAGGUAGGAAGACCCGCUGAACUUAAGCAUAUCAAUAA